CCAGGGCUUGGUGCAUUUCGGUCUGAAUGAUUCGUAAAUGCCCCUUGGGAUGUGUGGAUUCUCACGACCUCUUCCAAGAACAUGAGCGCUUUUAUCAUCUCUGCCAUCUCUUCUCUUUUAGACGUCAUGAAUCUUGGACCCGUUCUUGGAGCAGAGAAUCGAGUAACUUUCUCAAGGGCACGAUGACCCUCCGUAUGUUUCUGCCAGUAUCAGCGAGGUUCAGAAGGUCUCAUGAAUGUCUUUCGAGCCUGGUAUGCUCUAGAGAUGUCUCCAUGCCGAUAUUCUCCACUGUAGCAAAACAACUCUCAUCAAUGUGUUCGCACAUCUCCUCAAUCCAUGCAGCCAGUUUUCUGCCAGCUUCUCUUCGUGUCUCCCAUAAAGUCGACGUCAACAUGACUGGGCAAGUCUGAAAAUACCUCGGAGCCUCACCAACGUCAGGAAUCUUGGACCCGUUCUUGGAGCAGAGAAUCGAGUAACUUUCUCAAGGGCACAAUGACUCUCCGUAUGUUUCUGCCAGUAUCAGCGAGGUUCAGAAGGUCUCAUGAAUGUCUUUCGAGCCUGGUAUGCUCUAGAGAUGUCUCCAUGCCGAUAUUCUCCACUGUAGCAGAACAACUCUCAUCAAUGUGUUCGCACAUCUCCUCAAUCCAUGCAGCCAGUUUUCUGCCAGCUUCUCUUCGUGUCUCCCAUAAAGUCGACGUCAACAGGAAUGGGCAAGUCUGAAAAUACUUCGGAGCCUCACCAGUAAGCUGAUGACAGGCCGAUGUUCCACUGUCUGCCCGUUCAGAUUCUGGAAACUGACCUGUGAACUCAGGUCUUUGGUCAGCAGCAAUAUCUCGAACUUACUCAGCUACCAGAAAGAAAGUCCUAAGCCAAUCCCCACAUAGGGCAGGAGACCCACCAUCAAACAGAUCCUCCCACAGAAUUCUGCCCAGUUACCUUGUAUCUACCAGCCGCAAGAAGCUUCAUGGUACACACCAACAUUCCACCUGGAAUCCAACCGACGUCAUGAAUCUUGGACCCGUUCUUGGAGCAGAGAAUCGAGUAACUUUCUCAAGGGCACUUUGAUUCUCCGUAUGUUUCUACCAGUAUCAGCGAGGUUCAGUAGGUCUCAUGAAUGACUUUCGAGCCUGGUAUUCUUUAGAGAUGUCUCCAUGCCGAUAUUCUCCACUGUAGCAGAACAACACUCAUCAAUGUGUUCGCACAUCUCCUCAAUCCAUGCAGCCAGGUUUUCUGCCAGCUUCUCUUCGUGUCUCCCAUUUAGUCGACAUCAAAAGACUGGGCAAGUCUGAAAAUAACUCGGAGCCUCACCAGUAAGCUGAUGACAGGCAGAUCUUACACUGUCUGCCCUUUCAGAUUCUGGAAACUGACCCGUGAACUCAGGUCUUUGGGCAGCAGCAGUAUCUCGAACUUAGGAUCCCGAACAAUAGACCUAAACCAAUCCACACAUAGGGAAGCAGACCCAACAUCAAACUGAUCCACCCACAGAAUUCUGCCCAGUUACCUUGGAUCCACCAGCCGCAACAAGCCUCGUGGUGCACAGCAACAUUCCACCUGGAAUCCAACCGACGUCAGGAAUCUUGGACCCGUUCUUUGAGCUGAGAAUCGUGUAACUUUCUCAAGGGCAGGUUGACUCUUCGUAAGUUUCUUCCAGUAUCAGCGUGGUCCAGUAGGUCUCAUGAAUGUCUUUCUAGCCUGGUAUGCUCUAGAGAUGACUCCAUGCCGAUAUUCUCCACUUUAGCAGAACAACUUUCAUCAAUGUGUUGGCACAUCUCCUCAAUACUUGCAGCCAGUUUUUCUGCCAGCUUAUAUUCGUGUCUCCCAUAAAGUCGACGUCAACAUCACUGGGCAAGUCUGAAAAUACCUCGGAGCCUCACCAGUAAGCUGAAGACAGGCAGUUCCUCCACUGUCUGCCCUUUCAGAUUCUGGAAACUGACCCUUGAACACAGGUCUUGGGGCAGCAGCAGUAUCUCGAACUUACUCAGCUUCCCGAACAAAAGACCUAAGCCAAUAUCCACAUAGGGCAGCAGACCCACCAUCAAACUGAUCCACCCACAGAAUUCUACCCAGUUACCUUGGAUCCACCAGCCACAACAAGCCUCGUGCU